rnacentral:ncRNA from 2 species
GGCCUUCCUUAGGGGUGACCUAGUCUGGGUCUGAGAUGUUUCCUUGCAACUGCACAGAAAUGAUCCCUUCGAACCUGAUCCGGUUGACACCGGCGUAGGAAAAGGAAGGGAGCGUAC